AGCAGCAUGGCGCAGUGGUAGCGCGCGGGGCCCAUAUAUCUUCUCUGGUACCCCGAGGUCACUUGAUCGAAACAAGUUGCUGCUA